rnacentral:rRNA from 1 species
GUCAGAGCCAUAUUUCCCUGUAGUUCUCACCCAGUUUCCUGCUGAAGCUAAGCAGGGUUGAGCCUGGCCAGUACCUGGAUGGGAGAACUCCUGGGGGAAAACUAAUGUUGCUGCUGGAA